rnacentral:rRNA from 1 species
AUUGAACGCUGGCGGCAGGCUUAACACAUGCAAGUCGAGCGGAGCGAGGGUGCUUGCACCUUAGCUUAGCGGCGGACGGGUGAGUAAUGCUUAGGAAUCUGCCUAUUAGUGGGGGACAACAUUCCGAAAGGAAUGCUAAUACCGCAUACGCCCUACGGGGGAAAGCAGGGGAUCUUCGGACCUUGCGCUAAUAGAGUAGCCUAAGUCGGAUUAGCUAGUUGGUGGGGUAAAGGCCUACCAAGGCGACGAUCUGUAGCGGGUCUGAGAGGAUGAUCCGCCACACUGGGACUGAGACACGGCCCAGACUCCUACGGGAGGCAGCAGUGGUGAAUAUUGGACAAUGGGCGGAAGCCUGAUCCAGCCAUGCCGCGUGUGUGAAGAAGGCCUUUUGGUUGUAAAGCACUUUAAGCGAGGAGGAGGCUACUUAGAUUAAUACUCUGGGAUAGUGGACGUUACUCGCAGAAUAAGCACCGGCUAACUCUGUGCCAGCCGCCGCCGUAA